rnacentral:lncRNA from 1 species
AGUCCUUCCUACCGUGCUGUUUUUGAAAGAUAUAAUGUAAGUCAUCAAGAACUACAAAAGUUUUGCUACUUUUCUCAACAACAUUGAUGUCCUGAAUUUAGCAGGUGCUAUCGACUGAUCAGUUGGAUAAAGUUAUGGACUACUUUCUGCACACGCCACGGUCAGUGUGAACCGGAGUGACUUGACAUAAUGCUGGCCAAACAAGCUACAAACAAAACAGAGUUAAAUGGUUCCAAUCUGCCGUGAAGCAUUCACCCAUGUACACGGCCCAGGCUGUGUGGUUCAAGGGUGAAUGGUGGGACUUGGGGCAGAUGCACUCCACAGAAAGAGGCAGAGCCAGAGGAGUCAGAGUAAGAGGAGGAGGACGGGGAGGAAAAGGACGAGGACGGGGAAGGCCAAGGACCGUAAUCUCUGAUGAGAUCCGAGCCACUUUGGUUGAUCAUGUGGUCAACCAUGGUCUAACAAUGAGGGAGGCUGGGCAAAGAGUACAGCCAAAUUUAAGCAGGUACACUGUAACAUCCAUCAUCCGGACAUUCCGAAAUGAGAAUAGAGCUGAAAGAUUACCAACACAAGGUGGUCGGGAACGUGUUCUGUCUCCUGAACAGGAAACUGAAAUCAUGAACAUGGUCCUAGAAAAUAACGGCAUAACAUUACGGCAAAUACAAAGAAAAAUAAUAGAAAACAAAGAGGUAUUUCAAAAUAUUGAUAGGGUAAGCUUAUCAACACUGGACCGUGUCUUGCGCAGAAAUAAUCUCAGGAUGAAGCAGGUCUACAGGGUGCCAUUUGAACGCAAUUCAGAAAGAGUCAAAGAAUUGCGAUAUAACUAUGUGCAAAGAGUCCUUGAGCUAGAGGUGGCUGCAGUGGAGCACCAGUUCAUCUUCAUUGAUGAGAUUGGAUUCAACCUCACAAAAAGACGAAAGAGGGGAAGGAAUAUCAUCGGCCAGCGUGCCAUUGUUCAAGUCCCUGGCCAGCGCGGAGGGAACAUCACAAUGUGUCCAGCGAUUACCCACCACGGCGUCAUCCAUCACCAUGCUACCCUUGGCCCCUACAACAACGCCCAUCUGAUCACAUUCCUGGACACCCUACACAACACACUCAUUCCACCAGAUCAGGUAGAUGGCCCAGAGCAGCUCAGGUACGUUGUCAUUUGGGACAACAUAAGUUUCCACAGGGCUGCUCUGGUUUGUAACUGGUUCACUGCCCACCCACGCUUUUUAGUUGUUUAUCUCCCUCCAUAUUCUCCAGUCCUCAAUCCUAUUGAGGAAUUUUUUUCUGCCUGGAGAUGGAAAGUGUAUGACCGAAAUUCACAAACGCGUAUACCUCUUCUCCAAGCUAUGGAAGACGCAUGUGGAGAAAUAGCAGCUGAUGCUUUUCAUGGCUGGAAUCGGCAUGCUAGGCGAUAUUUCCCCCGCUGCUUGGCCAGGGAAAACAUUGCUUGUGAUGUGGAUGAGGUGCUGUGGCCAGACCGCAACAGAAGAGAGGAUGCAGCAUAGUUUUAAAUGUUUAAAUUUUAAAUGUUUUUUACUUUAACUGUAUACAUUAAAUUCUUCUGUUUUGUAUGUAGACCACUGUAUGUGCAACUUUGUGUUGGUUGGGAAUGGGAUGUACACUGUGUACAUUGUUUUUGUGGGAAAAAUAAAAUAUAUUUGUUACCGUG